UUGCCUUUCCUGAUCACCCUUCUUCAGCCUGAUUACAAAGAAGUGUCCCAUUGUAAUCCUUAUUGGCCUUAGACGUAAAACUUGGUGCUGCGUAAAGUUCUACCUGCAGCUCUUACCACGCCUCCUGUCCUAACAGUCUUGACCUCCAGAAGAUCUCCAAGCAACAUUAUAGAUCCAUCCAGACACCCUUCCACUAUUCAGGUGUGAGAACCUUACUGAAUAGACAUCAGCUACCCGAGGAAAAGCCAGAGCCAAGUCUGAAGUAAAAUAGACCAGAAUCACUAGUAGAAAGGAAUCUCAACAAAGUUUCGAAGAGUGGGGAACCCCUGACUGUUUCUGUAUGUAAUUCAACUCGACAACCAGUUCUAUGACUCAAUGCUGAAUGAUAGGAAUUUAUGGAGAAGAAGUGUGUAAUGGAAACAAAGAGAAAAAAAAAUGUGUGAAAGACCGUUUGAGAUAAUCUGGGUAUCUGCUGGCCCCAUUAUCAGAUGAAAAGAACAAAAACAUUCAUUUAUUAGCAGAUGAUAUGGUAUGCUUUCCUUCGAUGAGAAAUGACUGAGACUGA